rnacentral:rRNA from 1 species
CCUACGGGUGGCAGCAGUGGGGAAUAUUGGGCAAUGGGCGCAAGCCUGACCCAGCAAAGCCGCGUGAAGGAAGAAGGCUCUCGGGUUGUAAACUUCUUUUAUCAGGGACGAAGCAAGUGACGGUACCUGAUGUUUAAGCCACGCCUAACUACGUGCCAGCAGCCGCGGCAAUACGUAGGGGGCAAGCGUUAUCCGGAUUGACUGGGUGUAAAGGGCGAGGAGGCGGGAAAGCAAGUCAGAUGGGAAAACCAUGGGCUCAACCUGUGGCCUGCAUUUGAAACUGUUUUUCUUGAGUACUGGAGAGGCAGGCGGAAUUCCUAGUGUAGCGGUGAAAUGCGUAGAUAUUAGGAGGAACACCAGUGGCGAAGGCGGUCUGCUGGACAGCAACUGACGCUGAGGCGCGAAAGCGUGGGGAGCAAACAGGAUUAGAUACCCCAGUAGUC